CGAACAAUACUCCUAUAUCAACACACAACGAAGGCAGGAACUGUAGUACGUACGUAAGUGUAGCUAGCCUCCUCCUGUACUGCACACCAUGGCGAUACCGAGGAAGAACUGGAGCUCCUUGAGCUUCGUCGUGGCCGCCCUCAUGGUGAUCAUGGCUGCCACCCUUCUCCUCUCCACAUGCGACGCCCGCAAAGUGUUUGUGCGCAUGCAGAAGGAUAAGCCCACCGCUUUCCCAGUGCCGGGGAAGUGCUACGCGAGGUUUUUCCCGAACUGCACCGAGCAGCGGUGCAAGAUGUUCUGCGUCCAGCCGCUCCCCGGAGCCGUCUGCCUCGACAAAAAGACCUGUUGCUGCCCUGUUGCUUAAUUAUAAGUGCCGCUGAAGUGAUCGGGCUAAGAAACAGUGAAAGAUGACAACAAGCAAUCUUGGUAAACCUCCAAAUAUGUAGUCCUUGUUUGUUAACGUUGUCCCUAUUUAUGACCCGUCAACCAAAGAUUUGUGUAUUGUAUUAAUGUGUGUAUUAUAUCACCACAACAAUGUGCUCGCUAUUAGCAUUAAUGAGUUCCGUA